GACGAACGCUGUUGGCGUGCUUAACACAUGCAAGUCGAACGGAAAGGCCCUGCUUUUGUGGGGUGCUCGAGUGGCGAACGGGUGAGUAACACGUGAGUAACCUGCCCUUGACUUUGGGAUAACUUCAGGAAACUGGGGCUAAUACCGGAUAGGAGCUCCUGCUGCAUGGUGGGGGUUGGAAAGUUUCGGCGGUUGGGGAUGGACUCGCGGCUUAUCAGCUUGUUGGUGGGGUAGUGGCUUACCAAGGCUUUGACGGGUAGCCGGCCUGAGAGGGUGACCGGCCACAUUGGGACUGAGAUACGGCCCAGACUCCUACGGGAGGCAGCAGUGGGGAAUAUUGCACAAUGGGCGGAAGCCUGAUGCAGCAACGCCGCGUGCGGGAUGACGGCCUUCGGGUUGUAAACCGCUUUCGCCUGUGACGAAGCGUGAGUGACGGUAAUGGGUAAAGAAGCACCGGCUAACUACGUGCCAGCAGCCGCGGUGAUACGUAGGGUGCGAGCGUUGUCCGGAUUUAUUGGGCGUAAAGGGCUCGUAGGUGGUUGAUCGCGUCGGAAGUGUAAUCUUGGGGCUUAACCCUGAGCGUGCUUUCGAUACGGGUUGACUUGAGGAAGGUAGGGGAGAAUGGAAUUCCUGGUGGAGCGGUGGAAUGCGCAGAUAUCAGGAGGAACACCAGUGGCGAAGGCGGUUCUCUGGGCCUUUCCUGACGCUGAGGAGCGAAAGCGUGGGGAGCGAACAGGCUUAGAUACCCUGGUAGUCCACGCUGUAAACGGUGGGUACUAGGUGUGGGGUUCAUUCCACGGGUUCCGUGCCGUAGCUAACGCUUUAAGUACCCCGCCUGGGGAGUACGGCCGCAAGGCUAAAACUCAAAGGAAUUGACGGGGCCCCGCACAAGCGGCGGAGCAUGCGGAUUAAUUCGAUGCAACGCGUAGAACCUUACCUGGGUUUGACAUGGAUCGGGAGUGCUCAGAGAUGGGUGUGCCUCUUUUGGGGUCGGUUCACAGGUGGUGCAUGGCUGUCGUCAGCUCGUGUCGUGAGAUGUUGGGUUAAGUCCCGCAACGAGCGCAACCCUUGUUCACUGUUGCCAGCACGUUAUGGUGGGGACUCAGUGGAGACCGCCGGGGUCAACUCGGAGGAAGGUGGGGAUGACGUCAAGUCAUCAUGCCCCUUAUGUCCAGGGCUUCACGCAUGCUACAAUGGCUGGUACAGAGAGUGGCGAGCCUGUGAGGGUGAGCGAAUCUCGGAAAGCCGGUCUCAGUUCGGAUUGGGGUCUGCAACUCGACCUCAUGAAGUCGGAGUCGCUAGUAAUCGCAGAUCAGCAACGCUGCGGUGAAUACGUUCCCGGG
rnacentral:rRNA from 1 species